AGAGCGUUAUGAUGAUGGUUAAAUCCCAAGUGUCUAGCUCUAGUUUCUCCUGGGCUGAGUCCCAGGAGA
rfam:Atopostipes suicloacalis DSM 15692 genome assembly, contig: EJ15DRAFT_scaffold00013.13